UGGCGGCCGCGGGAAUUCGAUUCCCGCCCGCCUACGGGAGGCAGCGGGGGGGAAUAUUGCACAAUGGGCGCAAGCCUGAUGCAGCAACGCCGUGUGAGUGAAGAAGGCCUUCGGGUCGUAAAACUCUGUCCUAUGGGAAGAAAAAAAUGACGGUACCAUAGGAGGAAGCCCCGGCUAACUACGUGCCAGCAGCCGCGGUAAUACGUAGGGGGCAAGCGUUAUCCGGAAUCACUGGGCGUAAAGGGUGCGUAGGCGGCUAAGCAAGCCAGGGGUGAAAGGCAUUGGCUCAACCAAUGUAAGCCUUUGGAACUGUUUGGCUUGAGUGCAGGAGAGGUAAGUGGAAUUCCUAGUGUAGAGGUGAAAUUCGUAGAUAUUAGGAGGAACACCAGUGGCGAAGGCGACUUACUGGACUGUAACUGACGCUGAGGCACGAAAGCGUGGGUAGCGAACAGGAUUAGAUACCCUGGUAGUCCACGCCCGCAAACGAUGAAUACUAGGUG
rnacentral:rRNA from 1 species